rnacentral:rRNA from 1 species
UACGAAGGGGGCUAGCGUUGUUCGGAAUUACUGGGCGUAAAGCGCGUGUAGGCGGUUGCCAAAGUCGGGUGUGAAAGCCUUGAGCUCAACUCAAGAAAUGCACUCGAUACUUGGUGACUAGAGGACCGGAGAGGAUAGUGGAAUUCCCAGUGUAGUGGUGAAAUACGUAGAGAUUGGGAAGAACACCAGUGGCGAAGGCGGCUAUCUGGACGGUUUCUGACGCUAAGACGCGAAAGCGUGGGGAGCGAACAGGA